AUGCCAGAACUUUCUGUUGAACAAGGAUGCAGGGGCUCUAACUCCAGAAAAUUAUUCACCCUGCCCAGUCCCUGUCAGACGGUAUGGUGCAAGAUUGGCUUCGGAGAACCAGCUCCAAGGCCCAUCUGCAAGAUCUCCCCAGAGCCACCUACUCCAGAAAUCUCAUCAUUUGACCUGUUGAGUGUACCACAGUCUGGAAUUCCCUACACAGUUGAUAAUGUCCAUUGCUUCUCCCAGUGUUGUGGCUCUUUCUCUACAAAGAUGACUAGCCAAGGGAUCAGGAAUGCCAGGAGGCUGUAUCUCCCACUGGAAGCUGCUUCUAGAGCUGAUGGGAAAGAAGCAGACACGGGUGCACGGGGUUAUAACUUCCUGGGGACCUUGGAAGCCCUCUGGAUAGAGAAGGCUGAGGAGGCACUGGCUUCUCACUUCUGGGUUCCUGGAGAACCAGUCCUACUGAAAUGUCUCCUCAGACAGACCCUCCCAGAGCAAUGGCCUUCAUACCUCCCUAGCCUUCCUCCAGAGAUCAGCCAGAUGCCUCAUCUGCCUAGAUUACCAGAGAGACCUCAUGACCCCUGAGUGUAAGGCACUACUCCUGUCACUCCUGCAUUCACCAGCCGUGGGAAUAUUAUUGGAUGUCUUUCGUUGUCCCAUGCACCUCUGCCACUGCUUGGAUAACCUCAAGAGCAGCACUCAGUUAUGCCACGUGAUUGAUACUGUCAUGUACCUGCCCACCACAGAGACAGACACAAGGGAACCCCUUUGUAAGAAGCAUGGUGAGGAUCUGGCCUUGCUCUGUGAAAAGGACCUGGAGUCGCUGUAUUGCCAUUGCAGGGUCUCUCUGACCACAGCAUCAGUACCUGAGGGCCAUUGAUUACACUGCAACGACUUACAGGGACAACCUCAGAUACUGAGGAAGCAAAUGGAAGAUGCUGAAGUGGGGUGUGAAAAAACAAGUUUCAAAGUUUAGUAAAUUGCAGUUGAAGGAAAAUUGGAGGAAGGAGUUUUCCUCUGAAUUGGAAGAAUUUAAGCAUUGCUUGGGAAAGGAAUAAGUGGCAAUGCAGGCCAAGCUGCUUAAUAAAGAGAAAAUUGUCAAAAUCUAAUUGAGAAUGAGGGCUGGGGAUUUAGCUCAGUGGUUCUGCCACCUGCCUUCCAAGCGCAAGGGCCCAAGUUCGAUCCCCAGCACCAAAAAAAAAAAAAAUCUAAUUGAGAAUAAAAGCCAGAUUGCAAGCCACAUAUCCACAUCAAAACAAUUUGUUAAUUGAAAUAAGAGGGAAGUAUUUGCAAACAGACAUAGAUUUGCUGAGAGGUACUAGAAUCAUUAAUAGGUAUGAAGGCAUAAAACCCUCAGAAGUUUUUUUUAUAUGAAUUAAAAAAGAGUUGCCACCUCUCUCCACAUUAUUUUGGGCUGCCAAAAAAAAAAAAAAGAUCACAUCUCAGGUAGAUUUGACAUUAAAUCCUCCUAUUGAUCUUAGGAUCUCAGUAGACAGGGAAAGUGUGACUUCUGGGGUGAAGGAAUCAGCCUGUUUUCUCUGUUCACCUACUUCUCAUGCAUCUUCCCCGAGUUUUGAAAGCGGGAGAUGUUUUUGGGAAGAAGUGAGACUCGCAGGUCCUUAGGUGUGUGUAAUGAAUCAUUCUCCAGACAGAGUUUUAAGUUACUUGUCCUGGAAAUGGAUGCUGGCAAAUUGAUGAGUCCACAAAUAUAUGGAAUAAAACACAGGUCAGGCAGGUUGGCAUUUUUCCAGGAUUUUUUUUUUUUUUUUUUUNNNNNNNNNNNNNNNNNNNNNNNNNNNNNNNNNNNNNNNNNNNNNNNNNNNNNNNNNNNGGUUUUUUUUUUUUUUUUUUUGUAUCCGAGAUUGAACUGGUGACCUUGCACUUGCAAGGUAGGGACCAGCACCACUGAGCUAAAUCCCCAGCCCUAUUUUUCCAGAGUAUGAAUUGGCAGAGUUUCCAUUUUAUGAUUUGAACAGCAGGUCACAUUUUGUAACUUCAUUGAGAAUUUUAUAGAAAAGCUGACAGCUUUCCUCUCUAUUAAAUGUUCUUCAGAAUCUCGUAGCAAUCAGUUUUGUCAGAGAGGAAGAGAGGGAUGAUGAACUGCCCAGAGGACCAUUUUUUCUGUGCUUCAGUCUUCUUCCUGUGUUCUUGGGGCGUACUUGUAAUAAAGAUUCCAAUUUUGAAAAUAUUAAUUAUAAAUCUGAAUUUCUUUUUCUUCUCUUUGAUGUCUUGUUUGUAUCUGAUCGUCUCUGUGACCCCAUCUCUGAUUUAUUCUUUUUCUCCAAAUUACAGAUAAGUGAGCUUUAGUUCCAGAAGGUAGAGAAUAUAGGAGGUAAAUGUCUAAGAAUUAACUAAGUAAGGGGUCUUCGGCUGGGUUGGUUUAGGUAUUGGCACAAAGGCCCCAGCCCAAUCUGUCUCUGUGUGGUUGACCCUAUAGAGAGGAGGUACCGAAUACGGGCAGACAAAGGAAGAAACAAUGCUCCGAAGAAACAGCAUGUCACUGAAGGGAAUGGGAGGUAAGUAGUUGAGGAAGAAGAACAGAUGCAAGUCCUAUAAAAUAAAUGGGAAAGAGGAGUCCAAUUCUAGUUUUUUGUUGUUGUUUGAGACAGGGUCUCUGUUUGUAGUUCACGCUGGUCUUGAACUCACUAUGUAGCCCAGGUUGGCCCUGAACUCCCAGCAGUUCUCCUGCCUCAACCUCCCCAGUGCUGUGAUUACAGGUGUGCACCACCAUGCCCAGCUUCUACUUGCUAUUUUCUUAGGUAGAAUAGAAGCAUCAGGGUCCAAGGGCCUCACAUUGAACAUUUUGCAUUGGAUUUAGGGAUUCUGUCUUCUUACAGCUCCCUGAAAGAGCUACGUUUUUUUCCAAUGUUCAACUAUUCGUUACCUCUUGGACUAUUUAUGAUACUUCCUAAUCCCCCCUUUCACUGUCUGCUCCUAGAUUUCUGUCCCUUUAGAGCUAAUGGCUAGGGAAAACAAACAUGCAUUGCUCAUCUCUGGUAUCCUUAGGUAAGACCUUGACCUUAGUAACUGGCUGCAUCUCCUUUCGUUACUCUUCCUUAUCUGUUUUGUGCUCCGAGAGGUUUGUUCUCAGGCUUCCCAUAGAAUAGGCCAGUGAGUGGCACCAGCUGGUCUUUUGUAGCCGUACGCUGUAUCUGAGUUCCUCUUCUGAGGCCAAGACUCCAGUUGAAGGCAUAGCCCUCUCCCUUGGGUACAAUUCUCAUCUUGCUUCAAUAACUGUCCUUUUAAAUUUAAAGCUGGUAAAGGCUUUCUACCUUGCAAGUCCCUGGGUACAUCACGAUCUCUUUCUGAUGCAUUAAACCAGCCUACAUCGUGGUAAAUGAUCCCUUCAUGAAAACAUGCUCCCUUAGCUCUUUGAGUGUACUGUUUCCUGCUAGAACCCUGGCUAAUUCUGUCACUUUCUUUUUUGCUAGCUCUUGUCUUGCUCUAUAAUUUCUUUUGAAUCUAUUCCCGUUUCUUUCUGUGCCCAAUGUCCUACACCUUAGACCUGAUCUUCAACAACUCAAUAACAUGUAUCAAACUGUAUGUACUUUUUUGGUACCAGGAUUGAACUCAGGACCUUGCGCUUGCAAGGCAGGUGGCGGCACCACUGAGCUAAAUCCCCAGCCUUAUCUGUUGUAUUUUUUAACAAUCAAUGAUGUCAUGCCUUGUGAAAUAUGUUCUCUAAAUCUUCGAUGGUGUAUUUAAAAUAUACCAACGCCACUUAAUAUGAGCCUUGUGAGCUUUAGGCAGGUCUCGUCUCCCGCUUUUCUUCUUGAUAGAUACAUAGAGCGUCACAUAUGCCAGAGACUGUGCAAGGUGCUGAACUGUGCUGGUGACCAAACAUUUGACAUGAAUCCCAUUCACUUAAGGUCUAGUGAGCAAGACAGACAUCAGCUAAAUAAAUUCACGAUAUAAAAUGGCAACUGUCAUAAAUAGUAUGACCUUCCGGGGAAUUUACUUGACCUACGAUGCCUUAGAGUGAAGAAGGGUAGGGUUUGGCAGGCAGUCGGGAGAGUCUCAACGCGGCAACAGAAGGCAGAGAGCCAUAAGUCUACGCAGCUCUCGAAGGCAUAUAUUAUAUCAUCCUUUCUUAGUCAAAUGGUACCUUCCACAUAAUAGCAGCUCCAGAUUUGCUGACUUUUCUUGAAUCUUGUGUCAAGUGUGUUCUAACCAGACCUCUUAGAUUGAUACCACUCCUUGCCUAGUGUCUGUCCCUGUGAAGUGUUUUCCAUGGAGAGCUGACUCUUUUUAGCACACGUUAUUAAUUCUAUAUCUGGCACUAGCAUAUGGUACUUGUUAUUGCCCUCAGUUAUAUUUGUUAUAUUCUGUUUGUUACUUUAUUUCUCUUCCUCACGUUUGUAGGAACUAAAAACUUUUAGGAGUUAUGUAUUUUAUAUAUUUCCUAUGUCUUAGGACUCAUCCCUCAUGUUUCAUAAAUGUUAUAGAUUUAUUAAUGGUCAUACUUUUCCCCCUCCCACUUCUUCCAUCUCUGAGGACUAAGUCAGCGAUUAUAAAUCUGUUGCUUCUUAUCAAAGAGAAGUCAAGCCUGGAUACUGACAACCAGGCCUUUCUCAGGUAAAGGUAAAAGACAAAUCCAUUUCUUUGUGAUUUGGCCUAUAGUGGCUUGAGAAUAUAAGGAAAAUGGGCCAACAAGUCUACAUGGAAGGAAAAUUGGGCUCAUAGUCACUGGCCCAAAGGGAUAGUGUCUGAGAUUCAGAGCAACUUGACUUUCCUGGAUUAAGUUUAGACUUUUUCAUAUUCCUGGAGCUUAACAUUUUUCACAUCUUCUCCUUAAAAACUGUAUUUGAAAAGUAUUUGCUAAAGAGUCCUAAAGUUAAUUAGUGAAGGUGCAGAAAAGGAUUGGGAAGAUUGGGUGAUAGUACUAAUGAAAAGCAUGAAAGAAAAUUAACAAAAGAGGCCUGGUCUCCUGACUAGGAGUUCUUCCAGCCCAGCUGGAUUCAAGCCUCCUCUCCCACAGGUACAGCCUAUUGGUUCAGGCCUUGACAAUAGUAUUGGUUAAGAUUUCUAAAAAAAGGCUGAAUUAGAAACUAAAGAUUCAUCCAUUUUCUUUAGUAGCUUGUUCUGAUCAAACAAAUAAACCAAAAAUAACUCACACAUCUCUUUUCCCUAGGUAAUUUUUUGUUUGUUUGUUUUUGAGACAUGGUCUCACUAUGUAGUUGAGACUGACCUAUGUAGCCCAAGCUGGUCUGGAACUCACAGUGAUCCUCCUGCCUCUGCCUACCAAGUGCUGGGAUUGCAGGCAUGCGCCACCA
ensembl:lincRNA